AACAAUAAAAGAAAUUAAAAGUGAUUGGAGAACUCUAGCCCACAAGAGCUUCACCGCAGACAUGGACAACUUAUUGUCUAAACCAAAAGAUACUUUCUGUUGUCCAGUACUUGUCUUGAACUCACUCCCAGCUUCAUUUCUCACACAUUCCUUAACAAGGUUCAAGACCAAUCAAACAAGCAUAUCAGAUUAUCAGUUGUCUUGAUUAUUGGAUUUCUUUUGUUCCAAAUGUAAUAGAACUGUUAGGCCAGGCAAGCUCGGCAAUCAACACAAGAAACUGCUUCCUCUUAAAUGACUUUCAAACUGUUUGAAUUCUCCCUGCCAUUCUAUAAAUAUAUACCUUAGUGCAGCCUUGCAGAAGUCCUCCCAAGUUGCAAACGUUAAUUACCGAUGAUGUCUCUCUCAAGUCUCAAGUGUACGAUUUUCAGUGAUUCAGUCAUGCCUUUCCAAACGACUCCCAGGUUGCAACUAGUAACUAUUUAAGAAGUCCAUAGAGCCUAUCAUGUCUCAGUUAUACAGAAUUACCUGGCUGGACAGGCAGGCAUUUCAACACUACUUCACUCUCACCUGCUAGCACAGCACAAGAAACCAUCAAAUUAUGCAGCCUUACUCCAGUGAAUUUGAAGUAGAACAAGUAAUUUCGGUAAUUCCAAAAGUAGGAGUCAGUAAGUAGCAUGGCUUGAAGAAAUUGCUGAGGCAGAACUAGGAAUGAUUUUGAAGAUGGUAACAAUGGCCAAUUCUACAGAUUUCUUGCCAAGCACAACAGCCGACUUCUUCAUCAUGCCUUUUGUUUCCUCCUCAGUGAUUUCCAUUGUUUAUACCAUUUACAUAAGUUUCGACAUGUUGCUUCAAGACCUUUGUGUUAAGAGAGCUCCAAUUUCUUUCGAAAAAUUUUCAACCUUCAAUGAAAGUUCAACAUCUGGGGUAGAUUAAGAUUGAUCCUACACAUUCAUUUGUUGCAGAUUAAGAUCGAUAUAAUUGACAAUUUAAGAUUAGGGAAUACAAAAUUGGGGUUCCAUAAUUUACAACAAUUUGGGAUUGAAGCGGAUGUUGUUUGAGGGAAAAG
rnacentral:misc_RNA from 1 species